UUUAUAUUAUAUUAUUGUUUUAAAAAUCAUCGGUUUCGGGUAAACUGGUUGGCGCUUAUUGACGGGGUGGAUGUGCGUGACUGCACCUGGCGCAUAUUGAAGAGGGUGAUUGCUAACUCCCUGGCAAAGAAUCUCAAUUGGAGAGGAGUCAAUGGAAAGACUUCACUGGCCACUCUCCAACCCGGAGAGGUCGUGAUUGAAACCUCUUCACGGCUAAAGCUGCAGAGAUGGAGGUCGAGGGGACCAUGAAGAGGUGGCUCCAGCUGGCAUCAGAUCGAGAGUGCGGGUGCAAGAGAAGACUUUUGAAAACUUUUGCAAAAAGAAGCCCUUUCCAGUAGAGGUUAUAUGAUGUUCCGAUCCAUCUUUUCACACUGAGGACAAUCGAAGGACUCGUACAUGACUAUUCCAAAAGGUGCAAACAUUCACUGAUGCUCAAGAAGGUAACAGCAUGCAUUAAGAGCCUGGC
ensembl:lncRNA